CCACAAACGCCAGAUGAUGGCGCUCUCGCAAGGGCUCUCAUACCAGACUGUACCAUAUCAGACGAACGUGGGUCACAGCUUAAAGAAUGGUUGAGAAAUAAUUCUCAGCCCCUCAGCCAGAUAGAGACCUACAUGCCGAACACAGCAGUCUACAGGGCCAAGUGGAUUAGGGACAACAAUUGGACCAUCGAUCAGAUCCUCGAAGAGUUCCCUCACCUAAUGACCAAAGGCAUGAUUGCACAGGCUUGUCCUGCAUGGGGAUGCUGCAUCAAAGUUGUUUGAAACUUGGUCACGUGAAAUGCCAGGAGGGGAGUCUAAAAUGGUAAAGUUUAUUCAAAGUAGAAUACUUGCUUGCAAGUAGAGCUAAUGGCUCUUAAU